rnacentral:rRNA from 1 species
GACGAACGCUGGCGGCGUGCUUAACUCAUGCAAGUCGUACGGAAAGGCCCUGCUUUUGUGGGGUGCUCGAGUGGCGAACGGGUGAGUAACACGUGAGUAACCUGCCCUUGACUUUUGGAUAACUUCAGGAAACUGGGGCUAAUACCGGAUAGGAGCUCCUGCUGCAUGGUGGGGGUUGGAAAGUUUCGGCGGUUGGGGAUGGACUCGCGGCUUAUCAGCUUGUUGGUGGGGUAGUGGCUUACCAAGGCUUUGACGGGUAGCCGGCCUGAGAGGGUGACCGGCCACAUUGGGACUGAGAUACGGCCCAGACUCCUACGGGAGGCAGAAGUGGGGAAUAUUGCACAAUGGGCGGAAGCCUGAUGCAGCAACGCCGCGUGCGGGAUGACGGCCUUCGGGUUGUAAACCGCUUUCGCCUGUGACGAAGCGUGAGUGACGGUAAUGGGUAGAGAAGCACCGGCUAACUACGUG